rnacentral:rRNA from 1 species
AUACGGAGGGUGCAAGCGUUGUUCGGAAUCACUGGGCGUAAAGGGCGCGCAGGCGGUUUGGUAAGUCAGAUGUGAAAGCCCACGGCUCAACCGUGGAAGUGCAUUUGAAACUGUCAGACUUGAGUACUAGAGGGGAAAGUGGAAUUCCCGGUGUAGAGGUGAAAUUCGUAGAUAUCGGGAGGAAUACCGGUGGCGAAGGCGACUUUCAGGCUAGAUACUGACGCUGAGGCGCGAAAGCGUGGGGAGCAAACAGGAUUAGAAACCCUUGUAGUCC